rnacentral:lncRNA from 1 species
GUUCCAAAUUUACACUCUCGGGGCAUAAUAGAACUAUAUAAUUAGGUUUUACUCUUUGUUCGAUAGAAUGAGAAAAAGUACUCGUUUCAAAGUUAUACUGUUAGGGCGCAACAGAGUAGUCUAAUGUUGUUCUGGUUUUCGUUCUUGUGAACGUUGACAUCGAUUCGUUCCAAAUUUACACUCUAGGGGCAUAAUAGAACUAUAUAAUUAGGUUUUACCCUUUGUUCAAUAGAAUGAGAAAAAGUACUCGUUGCAAAGUUAUACUGUUUGGGCGCAACUGAGUAGUCUAAUUUUGUUCCUGUUUUUGUUUUUGUGAACGUUGACAUCGAUUCGUUCCAAAUUUACACUCUCGGGGCAUAAUAGAACAAUAUAAUUAGGUUUUACUCUUUGUUCGAUAGAAUGAGAAAAAGUACUUGUUGCAAAGUUAUACUGUUAAGGCGCAACUGAGUAGUCUAAUGUUGUUCCGAUUUUGGUUCUUGUGAAUGUUGACAUUGAUUCGUUCAAAAUUUACACUCUCGAGGUAUAAUAAAAUAAUAUAAUUAGGUUUUACUCUUUAUUCGAUAGAAUGAGAAAAAGUACUCGUCGCAAAGUUAUACUGUUAGGGGGCAACUGAGUAGUCUACUGUUGUUCCGAUUUUGGUUCUUGUGAACGUUGACAUCGAUUCGUUCCAAAUUUACACUCUCGAGGUAUAAUAGACCAAUAUAAUUAGGUUUUCUCUUUGUUCGAUAGAAUGAGAAAAAGUACUCGUUGCAAAGUUAUAUUGUUAGGGCGCAACUGAGUAGUCUAAUAUUGUUCCGAUUUUGGGGACCGUCCUCUGGCAAGGACCGGUUCCGAACGUUGAAUAUCCCCUUUGCCAGUUUGUGCAGCUUUACGUGGACGGCUCAAAGGGGUCGCUCGCCCGACAAAGGUGACCACCGGUUGGUCCCUCACUGCGAAAAAUACCCAGGGAGGCUGUUUCAAGAAGUGAAAAGUGAGGGUUUUAUGUUGCAUCAAGUGGGUUAUGAGAAGAGGCUAGGCUUGUCCGCCUCUCAUCGCAUCACUUACACUUCAGUGGAUGCCCUUCUUCACGUCGUGAUGUCGUAGUCCUCCAUACUCACGACCUCUGAUGUCUACUCAUCUUCUGGCUCUCUGAAAGGUUAUAACAAAAAAGCAUCAUAUCGGAGGAAAAGAGGAGAAGUAGCAGAAGGCUAGUAGAAUGAUAGAAGGAGACGAGAUAGAGACUGAAAAAGAGCGAGAAAGAGAGGUAUUGACAACUAAGACAGGAAUGAGAAGCAUAUCACGCGAGUUACACUAUUCAUCAUCUCCUCUUGCCCAAAGCUUGGAGCUUGGUAAUGAUGUAAACCUCAACCUUUGAUGUGGUUUCAAUAGGCAGAGGUAGAAGUUUUAUAAUACGAAUAAGCGCGGUUCAAGACUGAACCUUAUUGAGCUGCAUAACUGCCAGGUCGAGAUAUGUUUCGACUCGAAAUCGAAGCUCGCAGCCGGCAGAGUAGUCGUAUCUCAUCAAUGGCCGCAUGAUGCGUGCAUUGUGCUUUUCGAUAGUCUUUCGAGAAUAGGUUGGCCAGAGCAUACUUGAACUGGGCUAUUUAAUUCAAAUUAAUUUCGGCACACCUAAAUUCUAAGGUCCCGAAGUCGUAGGCACAGACGGUGUGUCGCAUUACCGUCGAGUAGCAGUCGAAGUUAUCGCCAAGAGAGACCUUCGGAGCUUCGUGUCCAUGCCUAGAAGGCUAACGGCGUCGAGACGGUUCUAAGGCACGACACAUCGCAAUCGAAGAGCUUCCACAGAAGUCCACCCACCGAGGGGUGGAGCAUCACAGUAAAACCCACCAAAAGUCCUCACCAGGGCGAGAGUGGCGCUACACGAGCUAACCAGAAGGGUGCGGGCGAUCAACAUGGUCGGACUUCACUUUCAUGCUUUAGAUGUCUGAUGUCAUCAUCGAAAGACUUAACUAGUACGAGUUUAUUACAUAUUGUGAUAUAGUCAAUUACUUGACGGAAUUGUCUUAACCAUGGAUUAUCGCUGCAUAUCCUUGCAUGCUAAGGAUGGUAUAGCUCUGCGUUUGUUCAUCAUCGUCAAGACUGAUUUAGUAAAACAUGCAGAGGUGAGCGAUCGUUUGAGAACAGACACCCAAUGAAAAGUCGCCCUAGUCAACUAACGAUAAGAAUUAUUGUUUCAGUAGAUGAUAUAUGAACCUAGUGAUACCUUGGAACACAGUUGUAUUCAAGAACUCUGUCAAGAGAACGAGUGGCCAUCUAGUUAACCUAAACAUGAACGAGUGCAUUAAGUAGCCGGUAGGCAGCGCAAAACCUAAGAAAACUGCCUGCAGCUUGUCGAGAGACUACAUCAGUAUCAGAUAGUGAUGGAUCAGCGCCACCAAUCAAGUUGCUACUACACCGAGGCUAACCUCUCGGUGCCACGAAAUUCCGCCGAGUAUAGAUAUGCCCCCUGUUGAUCAGGGCGAUAUUACGAGAUUAUCAUGACAGAGAUUGAAUCGAGCUCACUUAGCUGCUGUCUUACACCUGUAGGACAGUAAGAAUCCUCGCACCUUCCUUACGAUGCUUUAAGUCGUUACACAACUCCCGGAGUGCUUCUUCGGCGAAGAUAUCUCGCAAGAUACUGGCGGGCCAGUGUAUGCCCUGGAGCCAGUGUAGUGUCCGCUCUCGGAAGAUAGGAUCCGGUCUCCGGGUAAGUGAUAUAGCUAGCCCACUCAUCCCCUAUGCAAGCAUCUUAGACGACGUAGAGGUACACGUAUCAGAUGUCACAAUGAAAACCCGACGGCGAGCGAAACUUGCGUUCGCCGAGAGAUACGAAACUAGAUAUUCCACAGAAUAUAGCCCGAAGAUCCUGUUCAAUCAUGUCCAUGAUGCUGACUCACACUUAGCAUUGUGUUUGAUGGAAGCAUGUAGUCCCGAAAGGCAUCACCGAGACAGCCUAGCAUUCUUACUAUGAGUUGUGCGAAGACAUUCGUAGUGGCAUCCUGAAUUAUGAGGCAUUGUAGUACCUGUGGCGAAUCUAGUUUCUAUGGACCAUCAAUUCACUCUCAGCCCGGAUCUUAAGCUGAAUGGUACCGCUUUCAGUUAAUAUAAUCUAUCUAUCUGCAUAUCUAUCUGUAGCGCGGGGCUAAGACGCUAGUGGGAGGAUCCGAUGCAAUGAGAUCUUCGGAGCAGAUACACGCCAGAACCCACUGGGAAACUAUUCGUAGUUCUCACUCGCACAGAGUACUAUCGCUGCACUGAGGCUGGCUUCCAAAGAAAGGAGACCGUGUUCAAUCUGGGCAGGGGAUACCCCUGUUUCUUACACUGUGACUUUGUUGAGGCGGCUCGAAUCGCCGGAAGGCGUAAGCGCCCUACGGGUUGACAGUGGUAAUCCAGACGAAGAGGGUUUUUCACUUAUUUAAAUAUCAAAUUUUUUCUUGACUUAGCGCCUUAUUUAGAAGACAGGGCAGCACCUCUAGUCGUCUAGGGAGAUCACACCUGGCUCUAUGACCUCCUUUAUCACCCUACCUCAGCUGGCGCCUUCCCUUUACUUCAGCUCCCAGGCAAAGCAAUAUAAGAUUAGUCAUAGCCAUCGAGGAUCGAUGGUGGUUGCCAGACACAGUGAUCUCAUACUGCGGUCAGCACGAGGUCAUCCUGUUAUCUGGUAGUCUAGAGAGUUGUAGGUACGAAUUCACAGACUACAUGGUCAUAUCCAAUGAGUGGUCGCAUUCUUAAUCUUAUGUCUAAUAUACACGGCCGGGCAUUCAACAUUAUUGCCCUAGUAAAGAGAUAUCGCAGCGAAAUAGAGGCUCUAACAUGCUCGGUUAAUAAAUAUAUUAUAAGAAGUUAGCUCGGCAAAAUAGGAUCACCCAUCCUCCGCUCGCAUCGAUAGUAAUGUUGCCUAGUGAAAAACAGUCCAUUAGGUUCGAAUUUUAUUACUACUCAGAUCAGGCUAGAAAAACCCGAUCAUCGUUGUACCAAGAAGUAAAGCGGCGGUGAGUACCAUACGAGCAUAAGUGUAUGCUCAGCUGACAGGCGAGUAAGCAUCAUCCUGCUAGAGGUCGUCUCGAUCUCGAAGUGUACACAUCGAGUGUUUUGCGAGGAAAGACCAAGCUCACAUGCAAAUGAAUGCGAAAUAAAGAGUGGCGAUGCUCUUCACGUACUCGAAAAUGAGCAAUUCUAGCAUCAGAUGAAAUGUUGAAGGUAUGGACAAUACCUCGCAAGACAGUCGCCCACACCAGUGCCCUGCGUGCUGAGUCAGGGCGAAGACCUCUCUGCGCAUCUCCAGAUGCGCUGCCGUGCCCCUCAGUUUGCGCCUCCGUCCCGCGUAAUUGUGGUUGUUAAUUGUUAUGUACCCAGUUCAACGUUGUUCCUUGGAACCUUGUUGCUCACUAAUCUAUGGUUGAGCCUUGGCGACAGAGGAGGCUGUCCGUUCGGCGUCGGUCCGCCCUUCGAGUAGGGGGACCCCGGAGCCACGAAGCAGCUGCAGCUGGGGCUCCGCGGCUUCUGCGGGCGUGCAGGCAUGGGAGGAGACAGGGACUCCCCCUGAGACAUCCGCCACCUCCUAGGACACUGGCUUGCAGGGGAGCCACCUCGCACUGGCCACGAACGGAAACAGUGUCCUCCUCUGCGACCAUUCGCCAUCAACCGCUGAGCUUUGCCGGCAGAUGCACACAACGGUGGAUCGCCCCUCUGCUGAUUGCUCGAGGGCGCACUCUUUGCUCCCUGCUAGAGUGCGCGGAUGCUUUGGCGACCGGUUACUAUUGGAAAGGAGCCGCCGCACGUCUUAGAAUGGGAACGCUUUCUGUUCCCCAUCGCCUCCGAGGCCCUUUGCAGCUCGGACUCUCGUAGACUCGCUCUGGAUGACGAGGCUAUCGUCGCAAGCACUCCGUCAAAACACGUCAUCGUGCCAUGAGAAGCCCAGCAGCAUCCUGAUGUGGGUCUCGAAGCCCUCGCGAAGACUCUCGCCUUGUGCGCUCGUCAAAGUAGGCUCGAAUAGAGAGCAAGGGAUCAGCCUCCACCAUGGCGGAAGACGAAGUCCUGCUCGUAGCUUCAGCUACGGUACGUUCCCACUGCUGAAGAUGUUCUAAAGCUCCGCGCUCCGGCCCAGCCUCCAAAUUUUUGAGUUGUCCCGAAAGAAUUGCUUGGAUUGGAGAUCUCCGGAACUCCCCCCAGGGUUGGGAAAGGACGGCCCAGCUGUGAGCGAGGUAGAUGUCGGCAGCCACCAAAUAGAGCUGCGUCCGCCGGUCCGAGAAAGUGUGCGGCCAAGGACGCGGUACCUGGCUCAUCCGAUGAGUAUAAGUCGCUCUAAAGCUAGGUACUCUCACAAUGUCGGUCAGGUUCGAUGAGCAGGUCGCGUCGAUAGAAACUCCUAGUUCUCUUCCUUCUUACGCUCCACGCGUAUUCUUGCGGGUCGAAUUCCCAUGAACUCAUCCAGCUUCGCACAUGCAUAGCGGGCGCCUCUGCUGCGGGGUAAUUUGCAUCCUCAGCUGGAACCUCUGGUGGUCGUCCGUCGUCGUCGAGCUCAGCAAGCAGAUAAAGAUGGAACGGAGCCGAGGGCCGAGCUACCUAGUGCAGGCGCACCUGAGGAGGUGGUGGACUUCCUACGGAGACUCUAAGAGCAGGCAUGACCCAUUCCAGAACCGGCGGCGUCGGGGAAGGUAGUCGCUUAUAUGGGAACACAGCUCUAGGCGGUGUGCGGCUCGUAAGGACUAGCUGGCAUGAGUGCUGCGUCGGAAACCGCCGCCAUGUGGAAAGGAGUCGUCAUCCUGAAUCCCGUCCCGUCAUCACUGGAGGCUUUAGACCUCGAGUGGUGAGGCUCGAGCUGCUUCGAUAGCAGUGAGUAUCCGCCCUGCUGGAUGUGGAAUGUUUUUUUUUACUUUUCUGGUCGAUCUGCUCACCCUACUCCUGCCCUGCCCCACCUGCCUCUGCCGUUGCUCGGAGGCCUGCUCUUUUCCUAGGAGGCUAAUUGACUAAGAGCCCUCAUGGGCGACGGCGUCCAGAAAGUUUGAUGGAACUAGCUCCCACGAACUCACGGAAGAAGGUGGGUCCGCUACUCCACGAGCCAAUCUGUAACACAAAGCACGCGUCAGCACGAAUAAUCGAGACUCGACCAACUCCGCCUACGGACUUGAGGCCCACAGAAACUUGCACUCACGUGCGCUAUGAGUAUUUCGCCCGUAGUCCUGCCUAUGGGUCAACCUAACCAAUGGUUCAUUUCAUUGAUUUUUCGAAAACCAACCUGUGAAUGGUAGUCUCCCCCUGUAUUUUGAGCACGGUCGUCGUAGCACAAGUACAGAGGAGAUCUGUCCCGUCGUGAAGUGGAUUCCCUGUAAUUGUGCGAUCUGACAUACUCUGGGGUCAGGUAUUUGAGAAAAACAAAAACAAAUUAUUAGUCAUUUCGCGUCAUUUCCAAACGCGCAACAAGGACCUCAGGGGUGACAGAUUAAAGUGGUAUCAGAGCCGGUUCAUCAGCUGGACAUGUGUGGCGAGUCUCGCUAUGAGCCACGGGUCGGAUGACGGGCUAACGAGCGACGUCUUACAUCGCGCUGGUGAUCUUGGGCUGUGUGUGUUGUGGACUCGACAGACGUCAGGACUGCAGCUUAAACGGGGAGUCCUGGUGACACCGCCAUAUCAACAUCGAUGAAAUGGAAGGUGUUGUUUAUUCAGGAGUUGAUAAGCACGACUUAGACACUAGCUAAAUAAUAACUGGCUUAGAGCAUUUGGGGUCUGUGUUGGUAUCAUGGGCCAACGAGUUACUCUUAAUUAAGCUUAGUGAAGCUUGGGCCUGGUCGUUACAUUGGUAAUCAGUCAAGUCGAAUUCUUUCAGCUCAUCGAAGCUACUGCUAGACACCGUCGAUUUGUUCAUGAAGUUAUUGUCGUUUCGAACUGCGAAUGAUGACCUGUCGUUCGGAUUCAGUAAUACCGAUUUUGCUGGGAGUCCACCGGGUUAUACCCAAAGCUCUCCGAGCUUUGCCUCAAUGUAAAGCUUGUGAAGCGGUGUGCGAUUUUGGAGAAGGCUGCAACGAAUCGCAAGAUAAUACCUGCACUGCGCCAAACCCUAGAAAAACUCCGGACUUGGUCACCGAAAGUUUUGGUUCAAGACCAGCUACACCACGCGAGGCUAUCUUCUUCGGGUCCGACCGAAUCCACGCCGGAGUAGAAUAUGCCGUCUCUCAAGAAUGACCACGUAGCGACGUCACGGAGCAGAAAUCCACUUCUUGAGCUUAGCGUUACAACUGUGCCGCCGCUGAAGUAUCUGGCAAUUAGCUCUGUCGCGAGAUGAUCCUCAGGUGCUCCCUACAAUACUCCGCGAGUAGAUCAGGAGUCAUCAUGAAACCGACGACAGACACUGAUCCAGAUAAGCUCGGAAGCCCUGUCAUUCAUGUCGCAUAGAAGGCUGCGCGGAGGAUUGGUGAGCCCGAAAGGCACACCGUGAACUCGUAGUGGCCGUAACGAGUCCGGAAAGGCGGUCUUUCGGCACAUCCUCAGCCCGGAUCUUUAAGCUGAUGUAGCCUCCCGACCGCAAGAUCAUCCUUGGAGUUAGCACCGACGAUCCUUUGACAAGGCUGGUCAUGGUACGAAGCCUGAACUUUCCAGUACGCGCUUUCUCAUCUUUAGAGUGACGGUCAGGUCCAGAGCGACGUGCAUCCAGACUUCUUGUACGACAUGCUCUGGCGCAGAUCGCGUCUGGAUUACGGUGGAUCGGAUGGUCUCGGUAUUACCGUUGGUGGAGUUUCGCGACUAUAAUAAACAGCUUUCAGGGUCGACAUCGGGAUGGCACCAUACCGAGGCGUCUGUUAUGGGCGUUCGAUGUCGUUCUCAGCUAUCUGCUUGGCACGCAUGUCGAAGACCGCCGGUUAGUUAGGACUACUAGAUUUAGUAGGAGACGCCACAUGAGGCAAGAUCCGCAUUGGGCGAGAGAGCGGCUUCAGACCUGCAACAGAUAGAAUCCAAGGGGCGACUAGCGCGGCCCAGGCGGAGGCCGGAACCUAGAGUUUCAGUCGUGAGUCAUGUGCUGCUCAAGUGUCGCCUUCCAGGAUCAAUACGGUUUGUUUGCGGAACAAGCUUAUCGCGCUGGUUUCGGUGGGACCCGUUCUGAGAUCCUACGAGCUGCGUUGGUCCGGUGGGCUUACCAGAUUGCUCUCAUACCGCAGUCUCGCCCGAGUGCAGCAACGUUUUUUCACGUGUCCCAUGCUUCGGAUACCACAUCCCGAUCCGUCCCCACAUCAUUCAGUCGACACGCAUUCAGCUAUGCGGGAGGAUCUCGAGCUAUGCAGUGAGGCUCCCGUUGCACGAUCCUGGUCACGUGAGGUGAACGCAGUUGCCGGAAUAGGAGCAUAUCCGUAUUCAAGGUCCAGUGGAGGAGAAGCGCGACGAGAGGGCUGCGCCUGAGGCUACUGGGAGCUUGAAUGCGUCAUGGCGGUCGAUCAUUAUCCACAGUUAUUUUGCGAGGGACGUCCUUGUNNNNNNNNNNNNNNNNNNNNNNNNNACUAAUUAUAUAGUUCUAUUAUGCCGCCGGCGCAAUUGUUAUAUAUUUGGAACGAUCUUAAAUUUACAAGAACCAAAUCGGAACAACAAUUAGACUACUAAGUUGCGCACCUAACAUAUUAACUUUUGCAACGAGCACUUAUUUCUCAUUCUACAAACAAAGAGUAAAACCAUUAUAUUGCUUAUUAUGCCUCGAGACAGUGUAAAUUUGGAACGAAUCAGAAACUUGUCAACGUUCACAAGACAACAAACAUGGACGAAAAUUAGCACUACUCAGUUUGCGCGCAACAGUAUAACUUUUGAACGAGUAUUUUUCUUCAUUGAUCAAUAGAACAAAGAGUUAAAACCUAAGUAUAUUAUUUUUUAUACCUCCAUUCGUGCUAAAUCGUAGAACGAGGUCAAUGUCAACGUUCACAAGACCAAAAUCGGAACACAUAGACUACUCAGUUGGCACCAACAGAUAUGAACUUAUGCACACGAAUACUUUUUUCUAAUUCUAUCAACAAAGAAGUAAACCCCAUAUUAUAUUGUAUCUUAUGCCCCAGAGUGUAAAUUUGGAACGUAACCAGAUGGCAAGGUUCACGUAAGAACAAAAAACAGGAACAAAAUUAGAUACUAGUUGCGGCCAAAAAGUCUAACUUUGCAACGAGUAUUUUUUCUCAUUUCUAUUAUCAGAAAGAGGUAAAACCUAAUUAUAUAGUUCUAAUUUGCCUGGAGUGUAAACUUGGAACGAAUCAGAUUCGUCAACGUGAUUAAGAAGAAAAACCAGAAAACACAUUACACUACUCUGGUUUGCAGCACUAACAGUAUAACUGCGACGUAGUACUUUUGUCUCUUUCUAUCGAACAAAAAGUGAAACCUAAUUAUCAUUCUAUUAUGCCCGGGCGAGUGUAAAUUGUGGAAGAUCUUCAACGUUCACAAAAGAACCAAAUCGGAACAACAUGAGCACUACUCAUUGCGACCUAACGUUAUAACUUUGCAACGAGUACUUUUCUGAUUUCUAUCAACAAAGAGAUAAAACCUUUAAUUAUAUCGAUAUCUAUAGUCUCGAGAGUGUAAAUUGGACGAUAUCAGAGUCAAGUUCAGAAAGAAUCAAAGAUUCGGCGAAGAACAUUAGAUACUCAGUUUUGGCCCUAACAGUUAUACUUAAUGCAACGAUCUUUUUCUACGUUCUAUCAAACAAAGAGUAAAAUACUAAUUAUAUUAUUUAUUAUACGCUCGAGAGUGUGAAUUUGGACGAAGGUCAUAUCAACGUUCACAAGAACCAGCCGGGAGACCGGUCCUUGUCCGAGAGACCGGUUCCCGAGAGCAAUACUUUCGGGACUUAGCCAAAUUUCGGCUUCUCUCGCUGGGCCAACGUUCGGGAACCGGUCCCUGCCUGCUAGGGACAGGUCUCAUCAGAGACCCCCGCAGCCCAGCCUGAUGGGACCGGUCCCUCCCUGCCAGGGACCGGUCCCCGAGAGCAUUUCUUCUCCAGUGCAGCUUUUGCACGGGUGCUCUCGCGGACACCUCCUCAAUGCACCUUAUGCAUUGUGAUCACCUUCGGACUUUCCGAAGCUUGCACGCACGACAACCAGUCGAUCUUUGACGAAGUCUAAUCCUCGAGUUUCGAGAAUUCACUUCCCUUACACUCUCCCCACUUAAAAGAGUUUCGUCCUCGAAACGAACUCAACAAUAUUAAAUUCAUCCAGAAUACUCAUACCUCGGUGGCUCACUCAAACAAGUGAGGAUGAUUCGCUCUCAUCUCCUCCUCGAGCUCCCAGGUGGCUUCGCGGUCAGCAUGAUUGCUCCACUCUCAGGGCAUAAUAGAAUAAUAUAAUUAGGUUUUACUCUUUGUUCGAUAGAAUGAGAAAAAGUACUCGUUGCAAAGUUAUACUGUUUGGGCGCAACAGAGUAGUCUAUUGUUGUUCCGGUUUUCGUUAUUGUGAACGUCGACAUCGAUUCGUUCCAAAUUUACACUCUCGGAGUAUAAUAGAACUAUAUAAUUUGGUUUUACUCUUUAUUCAAUAGAAUGAGAAAAAGUACUCGUUGCAAAGUUAUACUGUUUGGGCGCAACUCAGUGGUCUAAUUUUGUUCCGGUUUUUGUUCUUGUGAACGUUGACAUCGAUUCGUUCCAAAUUUAUACUCUCGGGGCAUAAUAGCACAAUAUAAUUAGGUUUUACUCUUUGUUCGAUAGAAUGAGAAAAAGUACUCGUUGCAAAGUUAUACUGUUAGGGUGCUACUGAAUAGUUGAAUGUUGUUCCAAUUUUGAUUCAUGUGAACGUUGACAUCGAUUCGUUCCAAAUUUACACUCUCGGGGCAUAAUAAAAUAAUAUAAUUAGGGUUUACUCUUUGCCCGAUAGAAUGAGAAAAAGUACUCGUUGCAAAGUUAUACUGUUAGUGUGCAACUGAGUAGUCUAAUAUUGUUCCGGUUUUUGUUCUUCAGAUCGUUGAC